CGGAGACAGGGAGGAGCCGCGACCGCCGCGGCCCCGCGGCGGCAGGUGUGGAUGGGCGCGGCGGAGGUGCGGAGGAGACUGAGGUGCGGGGAUGUCCACUCCCGCCCGCGCUCGCCCGGGGCCCGGGCUUGGGGGCGGGGAGCGCCUCCCCGGAGGAGCUCCGAGAGCUGCUUCGACCUGCGCACAACUUGGGGCGCGGCCCGGGCGCGCAGGUUCCACGUCCGGCGCCGGGAGGAGAAAGGCGCGCGUCCCCGGCCGCGGCGCCCGCGCGGACCCCAACGGUGAGGCGGCGGCCGGGGGGGCCGCCGGGGGGCGGCCGGGGCUGGAGGGUGGGCGGCGCCUCCGCCCUCCGCGUCGACCGGCCGCGUUUCACUUAAAAGAGCCUCCCAUCCUGCAGCGAGACAAUGGCAGUCGUGAAACACACAACAGAAGUGUUCACCUAGCGCCGCGUUGGCAGGGGAGAAGUUAA
rnacentral:lncRNA from 1 species